AAUACCGCAUGAUGUCGCAAGACCAAAGUGGGGGACCUUARGGCCUCACGCCAUGAGAUGAACCCAGAUGAGAUUAGCUAGUAGGUGCGGUAAUGGCGUACCUAGGCGACGAUCUCUAGCUGGUCUGAGAGGAUGACCAGCCACACUGGAACUGAGAGACGGUCCAGACUCCUACGGGAGGCAGCAGUGGGGAAUAUUGCACAAUGGGCGGAAGCCUGAUGCAGCCAUGCCGCGUGUGUGAAGAAGGCCUUAGGGUUGUAAAGCACUUUCAGCGGGGAGGAAGGCGGUAAGAGUAAUAUGCUUAUCRAUUGACGUUACCCGCAAAAGAAGCACCGGCUAACUCCGUGCCAGCAGCCGCGGUAAUACGGAGGGUGCGAGCGUUAAUCGGAAUAACUGGGCGUAAAGRGCAUGUAGGCGGUAAGUUAAGUCAGAUGUGAAAUCCCCGAGCUUAACUUGGGAACGGCAUUUGAGACUGGCUGGCUAGAGUUUUGUAGAGGGGGGUAGAAUUCCAGGUGUAGCGGUGAAAUGCGUAGAGAUCUGGAGGAAUACCGGUGGCGAAGGCGGCCCCCUGGACAAGGACUGACGCUGAGGUGCGAAAGCGUGGGUAGCAAACAGGAUUAGAUACCCUGGUAGUCCACGCUGUAAACGAUGUCGAUUUGGAGGUUGUGACCUAUUGUUAUGG
rnacentral:rRNA from 1 species